CUAUACAUGCCAAGUCGAGCGAAUGGGAUUAAGAGCUUGCUCUUAUGAAGUUAGCGGCGGACGGGUGAGUAACACGUGGGUAACCUGCCCAUAAGACUGGGAUAACUCCGGGAAACCGGGGCUAAUACCGGAUAACAUUUUGAACCGCAUGGUUCGAAAUUGAAAGGCGGCUUCGGCUGUCACUUAUGGAUGGACCCGCGUCGCAUUAGCUAGUUGGUGAGGUAACGGCUCACCAAGGCAACGAUGCGUAGCCGACCUGAGAGGGUGAUCGGCCACACUGGGACUGAGACACGGCCCAGACUCCUACGGGAGGCAGCAGUAGGGAAUCUUCCGCAAUGGACGAAAGUCUGACGGAGCAACGCCGCGUGAGUGAUGAAGGCUUUCGGGUCGUAAAACUCUGUUGUUAGGGAAGAACAAGUGCUAGUUGAAUAAGCUGGCACCUUGACGGUACCUAACCAGAAAGCCACGGCUAACUACGUG
rnacentral:rRNA from 1 species